AGGUAAUGAACAACGUCAUCAAGAAGGCAAGAGAAAAAGGAAAAUGGAAGGUUUUGGUGGUGGACAAGCUGAGCAUGAGGAUGGUGUCCUCCUGCUGUAAGAUGACGGACAUCAUGUCUGAGGGAAUCACUAUUGUCGAAGAUAUAACAAAGCGGCGUGAACCUCUGCCCAGCAUGGAGGCCAUCUACCUGAUCACACCCUCAGACGAG